AAGUCCAGGGGGAAAUGCCUCCGUCAACGGAGGGACUGCCAUGAUACUGGGAUGCUGGAGUAUAGUUGGCGUAGGCGGAUAUUUCAUGUAGCGGUGAAAUGUUUAGAUAGAAAAUAAGAGCACCGAUCGCGAAGGCAGCUUACGAAAGCUAUACUGGCGCUCAUGAACGAAAGCGUGGGGAUCAAACAGGAUUAGAUACCCUGGUAGUCCACGCUGUAAACGAUGAUUACUCGUUGUCGGCGAUAUACAGUCGGUGGCUAAGCGAAAGUGAUAAGUAAUCCACCUGGGGAGUACGAUCGCAAGGUUGAAACUCAAAGGAAUUGACGGGGGCCCGCACAAGCGGAGGAGCAUGUGGUUUAAUUCGAUGAUACGCGAGGAACCUUACCUGGGCUUAAAUGUAGAUUGCAUGAUGGGGAAACCUGUCUUUUCUUCGGAACUAUUUACAAGGUGCUGCAUGGUUGUCGUCAGCUCGUGCCGUGAGGUGUCGGGUUAAGUCCCAUAACGAGCGCAACCCCUACCUUUAGUUGCCAUCAGGUUAAGCUGGGGACUCUAAAGGAACUGCCUACGCAAGUAGUGAGGAAGGUGGGGAUGACGUCAAAUCAGCACGGCCCUUACGUCCAGGGCUACACACGUGCUACAAUGGUCGGUACAGAGGGUCGCUACCCCGCGAGGGGAUGCCAAUCUCGAAAGCCGAUCUCAGUUCGGAUCGAAGUCUGAAACUCGACUUCGUGAAGUUGGAUUCGCUAGUAAUCGCGCAUCAGCCAUGGCGCGGUGAAUACGUUCCCGGGCCUUGUACACACCGCCCGUCAAACAAUGGAAGCUUGGGGUACCUGAAGUCCGUCACCGCGAGGAUCGGCCUAGGGUAAAACAAGUAACUGGUGUUAAGUGGUAACAAGGUAACCAAGGGCGAA
rnacentral:rRNA from 1 species